GCUAACACGCGGUCUCCCGGACGCAGGUCCUUCACCAGCUUGGUGCCACCCUGCUCCAGGUGCACUGUGGCGGAUCCCGGGAAGCAGCCCCCGGAUUUGGCCGCCACCGAGUUCUCUGCGAGGAAGAGAGAAGAGAGAGAGGGUGUUGAGUGCCAAAGGAGACAGCCUCGCCGCGAACCCAGAAGGAUAUUUACUCUCCACUUGGAUUCCUCAGGAAGCCUCCUUGAGCUCGCGCGGGCGCCGGGCACACCCUCCUCUCUCGCGCCUGGACAGCAGGGCGCGGCGCCUCCCAGUGCGCGGUGCAAGGAGGCUGCACCCGGGGAACCCGGGCCGCCCCCGCCUCCGGCUUCCCCAGUGAGGGCCUUGGUGUUGGCCAGUGGAUAGCCAGGGGGUGGGGAGCGAAAAAUAGCUGUAGUCGUUGUAGCAACUGGACAAACAUUCCAGAGGUUUGCCCGAGGUGUGAAAGCCCAAGACUUGUGUGGAUUUUCUAAUUAAAAUCCAAUAAAGAGC